UUAACCACGGGGCGCAGCAGUUAGGAAUAUUCGUCAAUGGGGGAAACCCUGAACGAGCAAUGCCGCGUGAACGAUGACGGUCCUCUGGAUUGUAAAGUUCUGUUGUUUGGGAAGAACGGCUCUAAUAGGAAAUGAUUAGAGAUUGACUGUACCAUUCAAGAAAGCCACGGCUAACUACGUGCCAGCAGCCGCGGUAAUACGUAGGUGGCGAGCGUUAUCCGGAUUUAUUGGGUUUAAAGGGUGCGUAGGCGGAAUGCCAAGUCAGCGGUAAAAUCGCGGGGCUCAACCUCGCUCCGCCGUUGAAA
rnacentral:rRNA from 1 species